AGGACGAACGCUGGCGGCAUGCCUAAUACAUGCAAGUCGAGCGGAAUGAAGAGAGCUUGCUCUCUGAUUUUAGCGGCGGACGGGUGAGUAACACGUGGGCAACCUGCCCUACAGAUGGGGAUAACUCCGGGAAACCGGGGCUAAUACCGAAUAAUCAGUUUGUCCGCAUGGACAAACUCUGAAAGACGGUUUCGGCUGUCACUGUAGGAUGGGCCCGCGGCGCAUUAGCUAGUUGGUGGGGUAAUGGCCUACCAAGGCGACGAUGCGUA
rnacentral:rRNA from 1 species